GAUCUACUCCCUCGGUCCCAAAAAGCUUGUCUUAGAUUUGUCUAGAUACGGAUGUAUCUAGAUAGAUCCAUAUCUAGAUAAUCUAAGACAAGCUUUUUGGGACGGAGGUAGUACUAU
rfam:Triticum aestivum genome assembly, contig: Triticum_aestivum_CS42_TGACv1_scaffold_543911_6DS